rnacentral:rRNA from 1 species
GAUGAACGCUGGCGGCGUGCCUAAUACAUGCAAGUCGAGCGAACGGACGAGAAGCUUGCUUCUCUGAUGUUAGCGGCGGACGGGUGAGUAACACGUGGAUAACCUACCUAUAAGACUGGGAUAACUUCGGGAAACCGUAGCUAAUACCGGAUAAUAUUUUGAACCGCAUGGUUCAAAAGUGAAAGACGGUCUUGCUGUCACUUAUAGAUGGAUCCGCGCUGCAUUAGCUAGUUGGUAAGGUAACGGCUUACCAAGGCAACGAUGCAUAGCCGACCUGAGAGGGUGAUCGGCCACACGGGAGCUGAGACACGGUCCAGACUACUACGGGAGGCAGCAGUAGGGAAUCUUCCGCAAUGGGCGAAAGCCUGACGGAGCAACGCCGCGUGAGUGAUGAAGGUCUUCGGAUCGUAAAACUCUGUUAUUAGGGAAGAACAUAUGUGUAAGUAACUGUGCACAUCUUGACGGUACCUAAUCAGAAAGCCACGGCUAACUACGUG